UACGGGGGGAGCAAGCGUUGUUCGGAUUUACGGGGCGUAAAGGGCGCGUAGGCGGCGUGACAAGUCACUUGUGAAAUCUCCGGGCUUAACCCGGAGCGGCCAAGUGAUACUGUCGUGCUAGAGUGCGGAAGGGGCUACUGGAAUUCUCGGUGUAGCGGUGAAAUGCGUAGAUAUCGAGAGGAACACCUGCGGCGAAGGCGGGUAGCUGGGCCGACACUGACGCUGAUGCGCGAAAGCCAGGGGAGCGAACGGG
rnacentral:rRNA from 1 species